ACCAUUUGUUUAUUUUUUAUUUUGCUGCCUUUGCUUUCAUAUAAAAUCCAGAAAAAUCCCUGCUGAGAUAGCUGUCAAGGAGAUUAUCUACUGCAUGUUUACUUAGAUCUUUAAGCCAUUCAAAGUUGAUUUAGCAUAUGGUGUAAGAUAAGGUACAGUUUCAUUCUUUUGCAUGUGGCUAUCAAAUUUUCCCUACAACUCUUAUUGAAAAGACUGCAUUUUACCUGUUUUACAUUCUUGGCUCCUUUAUCAAAAAUUAGUUGACCAUAUACGUGUGGGUUUAUUUCUGGACUUCUAUUCCAUUGAUCUGUGUCUGUUUUUAAGCCCAUAUCAUACUGUUAUGAUUACUAUAGCAUUGUGAUAUAGUUUGAAAUCAGGAAUUGUGAUGUUUCCAGAUUUGUUUUUCUCUUUCAAUAUUGCUUUGGCUUUUUGAGGUUGCUUGCAGUUUCAUACAAACUUUAGGAUUAUUUUUUUCAAUUUCUUGAAAAGUACCUUUAGAAUGUUGAUAGGAAUUGCAUUCAUUGUGUUGAUCACUUUGGGUGGUAUGGAAUUAGCAAUAUUAGUUCUUCUAACCCAUUAGCAUAGGAUAUCUUUCCACUUAUUUGUGUCUUCUUCAGUUUAUUUCAUCAGUGCCUUAGAGUUUGCAGUAUAUGGCUAUUUUACUUCCUUGAUUAAAUGUUUUCUGAGGUAUUUUAUUUUUUCAUAUUAUUAUAAAUUAGAUUGUUUUCUUAAUUUCUUAUUUUGAUAGUUUGUUAUUAAUGUUCAAAAAUGCAGUUGAUUUUGUAUCCUGAAACUUUACUGAAUUUAUUAGUUCUAUAGUUUUUUGGUAGAAUCUUUAGAGUUUUCUAUGUUUAAUACAUUUCAUCUGUAAAUGUGACAGUUUUGCUUCUUCCAUUCUGAUCUGAAUGUCUUUUAUUUCUUUUUCAUGCUUAAUUGUUUUGCUAGGACUUCUCAUACUAUUUUGAAUAAAGAUGGGAAAUAUGGGCAUCCUUGUUUUGUUCUUGAUCUUAGAGAAAAAGCUUUCAGCUUUUAACUGUUUGGUAUGAUGUUAGCUAUGGGCUUGUCAUAUAUGGCCUUUAUUAAGCUGAGGUCCAAUGUCACUGCAGAUGGUGACUGCAGCCAUGAAAUUAAAAGACGCUUACUCCUUGGAAGGAAAGUUAUGACCAACCUAAAGUGUCUAACUCUUUGCCACCCCAUGGACCAUAAACUACCAGGCUACAGUCCAUGUAUCGCAAAGAGUUGGACAUGACUGAGCGACUUCACUCACUGUUUUCCUGCUUCUAGUUAGUGUCUUUUCAUUUCAACAAAAACUCACUUUAACAUUGCCUAUAGGGCCAGUGUAGUGGUUAUGAACUCCUUCAGCUUUUGCUUGUCUCUUUAUCUCUCCUUCAGUUCUGAAGGGCAACUUUGCCAGGGUUAGUAUUCUUGUUUGGCAGUUUUUUCUUUCAGUACUUUGGCUAUAUCAUACCACUUCCUUCUGGUCUGCCAAGUUUCUGCUGAAAAUCUGCUGAUAGUCUUAUGGAGAGUCCUUUGUAUGUAACAAGUUGUUUUGUACUUGCUCUUUAAGUUUUUCUCCUAACAAUUGACAAUUUAAUCACAAUAUGUCAAAAAGCAUUACACCAUGUCUUGUGGGUCUCCUUCAGUUUAGUUCAGUCGCUCAGUGUCUGACUCUUUGCGACCCCAUGAAUCGCAGCACGCCAGGCCUCCCUGUCCCUCACCAACUCCUGGAGUUCACUCAAACUCACGUCCAUCGAGUCGGUGAUGCCAUCCAGCCAUCUCAUCCUCUGUCAUCCCCUUCUCCUCCUUCCCCCAAUCCCUCCCAGCAUCAGAGUCUUUUUCAAUGAGUUAACUCUUCGCAUGAGGUGGCCAAAGUACUGGAGUUUAAACUUUA
ensembl:lncRNA